rnacentral:rRNA from 1 species
AUUGAACGCUGGCGGCAGGCCUAACACAUGCAAGUCGAACGAGUGGCGGACGGGUGAGUAAUGUCUGUGAAACUGCCCGAUGGAGGGGGGUAGCUACUGGAAACGGUAGCUAAUACCGCAUACCAUCGGAUGUGCCCCGAUGGGAUUAGCUCGUAGGUGGGGUAACGGCUCACCUAGGCGACGAUCCCUAGCUGGUCUGAGAGGAUGACCAGCCACACUGGGACUGAGACACGGGCCAUACUCCUACGGGAGGCAGCAGUGGGGAAUAGUGCACAAUGGGCGCAAGCCUGAUGCAGCCAUGCCGCGUGUAUGAAGAAGGCCUUCGGGUUGUAAAGUACUUUCAGCGAGGAGGCGUUACUCGCAGAAGAAGCACCGGCUAACUCCGUGCCAGCAGCCGCGGUAAUAC